AAAAAAAAACCAACACUUGUGAAGCAAAAGGAAGGGCCCCCGACACUUGUACAAAAAGAUUUGACUCCAACUGAAGAACUCACUCUCAAUUGGAUUAUGCAAAAUCCAUUGCAGUUUCCAUUUGAGGAUGACAUGGAAUGUGCUCAACAAAGUGCAUCUUCAUUGGAUUGCGGCAUGUUCGUCAUGUUCUAUAUGGAUAAAAUAGCACAAGGACAGCCCAUUCCAAAAAGCGUGGACAAGAAAUUCAUGAAUGAAUAUCGAGCACAAUAUGUCACAAAACUCCCACACCACAAAAACUGUGUAAUUAAUCGUCUCUAGUGAUUUGCCUUUCGUUAACUCAAGACAAUAUGUAUCUUAAUUCUUGUGGAUGUUUGUAAAUAUUUCUAGUUAUGGUAUAUGAGAACAUAUUUCCUAUA